rnacentral:lncRNA from 1 species
UGAGGAGUCCCAUUAUUUCUGUUCAAACUGUUCCACUUCGCAUGGAAUGAAUAUUCAUCAGGCUCAUGAGGGAAUGAAAGUAUAAAAGUAUAUCUAUAGCUGGGUUGUUAGGAUGCUCAGCAGGGAAGGUGGGUGAGUUGUAUGAAGGGAUACAUAAGGUGAGUCCUUGCUUGAAUUCUUGCAACAAAAGCAAGAAAACACUCCCUCAAGCAAGAGCACCCCCACCCCCCCACCCAGGUGAGUCAGAUGAGUGCAUGAGCGUAUAAACCACUUUUUUUUUUUUUUUUUUUUUUUUUUUUUUUUUUUUAUUACAUCACUUGUGUGUGUCCAGAAGAACAACUUCAGCAGAAGUGCUUUUUCAGGCAGGGUAAUAGUGGAUCUUCCACUUCCUAUCUGAGUGCUCUCAGGUAGUGGAUGUGUGCAGGAAGAAAGGCUUCUUAUCCUCCCACCGUGCAAGUUAAAUAAGCAAUACAGUCUAAGCAUGUCCUGAAUUACCUGGCCAGGACACUCAUAUGUGCAGGACCAGAACCAGGAAACAGAAUCAGGAAACAUUUGUCAACAUUAUGAAAAGGAUGCACUAUGGAGGUUCCUUGUCCUAAAAACACAGAAACAUGGACCCGGAAAGGACUACAGGAAGCUGACCUGCCCAGGCUUAGAGUUGUCCCGACCAGCUUUUGGGGAUGUCUGAUUUUUCAGACUCAUUUGACUUCUGGUUCUGAACUUGUCACCAAAGAAGCUGAAGCCCAAUGCCAAUACUAUUAGUGAAGAUCUACAUUCAUUGUCAUGACUCAUAUGACCUAGAGUGGGCCUCUACAGUCAACUGGGAGUAUUGGCAAGUAUUCCUUCUGACCUGGACUCUGUCCCCUGUGUUCCCAGAACCUCAUAGUCACUUCAUUAGUGCCCACAUGGAUGAGUAACGUGAAUAGCAUGAGUCACAGUCAGGGACUGGAUAUGCCCCAACAGUCUUUCCACUGUGCCUAAGGUUUUGGAUUAGUAAAGAAGCCUAUGUCCUGGCAGGAAGGUCAGACUGGCAGAUGGAUGUCUCUGGCCCCAUUACAAGAGUCUCUAAUCAUCCACUCAGAAGUUUAUUGCUGGAGCAGCACAACAAAUAACAGGAUUGUAUAUUACUGAAGAGCUGGGCUGAAAUGUAUUUGUCUUGAAACAAAAAAACAAACAAACAAAGCAAAGCAAAACAAAAAACAAAAAGAACAACAACAACAACAACAAAAAUCAGUAUUUAUCCCUCCUAAAAGAUGUUUACUUUUCUUCCCUACUGGGGUCAAUGGGGAACCUCUGGCUUCUUAUUUCACUAGGCACAGGACCUGAUUCUUAAACAAACCAAAAGUUUUUGUGAUUACUGACUUGGAAACUGAGGGACUGGUCAAAAUACUUUCAACUUCUCUUGUAACUUGAUUUUGAUACUUGGCAGAAAUUUAAGAAAUACUCUUACUUCUUCUUCUCCUAUUUAACGGAUUGCUUCAGCAUUUUUCCUCUUUCACAGCAGGUUUUUUGGUUGUGAAACUCUGUAAAACUCACCUAACUAUAAUGGAGAGUUUUAAAUGAUCUGUUCAGACAGAUUUUUAGAAUGUAAUACAAGCAUAUAUUUCUGAACAUCAAUGCAAUAGUAGAAUGGAGAAAAAAAAACAUUUAACACUACUCACUGUGUACAUUUCUCAUCAUUAAACAGUUGAAAUCCACAUGUCAGCUAUGAUGCAAUUCUGUAAUAGUGCCUCUUCUUUUUCUCAUAUACAUAUGUUAUGAA